rnacentral:rRNA from 1 species
GACAAACGCUGGCGGCGUGCUUAACACAUGCAAGUCGAACGGAAAGGCCCUGCUUUUGUGGGGUGCUCGAGUGGCGAACGGGUGAGUAACACGUGAGUAACCUGCCCUUGACUUUGGGAUAACUUCAGGAAACUGGGGCUAAUACCGGAUAGGAGCUCCUGCCGCAUGGUGGGGGUUGGAAAGUUUCGGCGGUUGGGGAUGGACUCGCGGCUUAUCAGCUUGUUGGUGGGGUAGUGGCUUACCAAGGCUUUGACGGGUAGCCGGCCUGAGAGGGUGACCGGCCACAUUGGGACUGAGAUACGGCCCAGACUCCUACGGGAGGCAGCAGUGGGGAAUAUUGCACAAUGGGCGGAAGCCUGAUGCAGCAACGCCGCGUGCGGGAUGACGGCCUUCGGGUUGUAAACCGCUUUCGCCUGUGACGAAGCGUGAGUGACGGUAAUGGGUAAAGAAGCACCGGCUAACUACGUG